rnacentral:rRNA from 1 species
CGGAGGAUCCAAGCGUUAUCCGGAAUCAUUGGGUUUAAAGGGUCCGUAGGCGGUUUAGUAAGUCAGUGGUGAGAGCCCAUCGCUCAACGGUGGAACGGCCAUUGAUACUGCUAGACUUGAAUUAUUAGGAAGUAACUAGAAUAUGUAGUGUAGCGGUGAAAUGCUUAGAGAUUACAUGGAAUACCAAUUGCGAAGGCAGGUUACUACUAAUGGAUUGACGCUGAUGGACGAAAGCGUGGGUAGCGAACAGGAUUAGAUACCCUGGUAGUCCACGCCGUAAACGAUGGAUACUAGCUGUUGGGAGCGAUCUCAGUGGCUAAGCGAAAGUGAUAAGUAUCCCACCUGGGGAGUACGUUCGCAAGAAUG